rnacentral:rRNA from 1 species
AUACGUAGGUGACAAGCGUUAUCCGGAUUUACUGGGCGUAAAGGGCGCGUAGGCGGCGCUUCAAGUCGUCUGUCAAAUGGAAGGGCUUAACCCUUUUUCGCAGACGAAACUGGAGAGCUUGAGAAGCAGAGAGGCAAACAGAAUUCCUGGUGUAGCGGUGAAAUGCGUAGAUAUCAGGAAGAAUACCAGUGGCGAAGGCGGUUUGCUGGCUGCAUACUGACGCUGAAGCGCGAAAGCCAGGGGAGCGAACGGGAUUAGAUACCCCGGUAGUCCUGGCAGUAAACGAUGUAUGCUGGGUGUGAGACUAGCGAUAGUUUCGUGCCGAAGUUAACGCGAUAAGCAUACCGCCUGGGGAGUACGGUCGCAAGAUUGAAACUCAAAGGAAUUGACGGGG